rnacentral:rRNA from 1 species
UACGUAGGGGGCAAGCGUUUGUUCGGAAUUACUGGGCGUAAAGCGCGCGUAGGCGGUUUGGAAAGCCAGAUGUGAAAGCCCCGGGCUCAACUUGGGAACUGCAUUUGAUACUGCCAGACUAGAGUGCAGAAGGGGCAACUGGAAUUCUCGGUGUAGCGGUGAAAUGCGUAGAUAUCGAGAGGAACACCUGCGGCGAAGGCGGGUUGCUGGGCUGACACUGACGCUGAGGCGCGAAAGCUAGGGGAGCGAACGGG